rnacentral:tRNA from 1 species
GGGGCCAUAGCUCAGCUGGGAGAGCGCCUGCCUUGCACGCAGGAGGUCAGCGGUUCGAUGCCGCUUGGCUCCACCA